rnacentral:tRNA from 1 species
AAUAAAGUGGCUGAGUUUAGGCGGUAGAUUGUAAAUCUAAGGACAAGUGUUAACUUCUUUAUUA